AGCAAAUCAAAAUAUUAAAUUCUUCUUUAUUCUUUGCAAUUUUAUCAUAAAAAAACAACACAUUCACUUUCCCUAAGUUUUUCUUUUUUUCUUUUUUUUUCUUUUUUACAUCCAUAACAUAAAUUAUAAAAAUUCAACACUAAACAAAAAUUACAUUAAACAAUUUAAAAUUUACAAAAUAGCCUCUAAAACUCCAGGAAUUGCAGAGAAGGCCUACUGCACCACCGGAAUAGUGUCAGGCAGACUUCUGGAGCCGCAAGAUAGUGGCGGCGCGUCUGCUCCAAAACGGACAGCAGGGGAGAUUCGAAACAGCUUCCUCCCUGCUUCCUCACCGGCGGUGACCUGCACAAAUAGCAAAAUCCCAAUAACUAGCUGAUUUUAAUUUUUCUUUUGUGCAGAUCCGUUCUCGAAUCUGUUGCUCUGUUCUGGUCUUGUUGUUCUUUCCUUCUUCUUCAAGCGGCAGAUCUGGCGACUGAGGAAGGAGUGCUGGAGGCUGGAGCUGCAGGUGUAGUCGUGCAUAGGGAGGAGCUGCUGCGGGGCCGACUUUGCUUCGGGAGGCAGAAGACGGGCAGAUCUGUGGUGUCGGCCAGGUGAGGGAGGCCGACAGGUCGGCUGAGAGAGGAGAGGGACGGUGCUGCUGCUGUUCGGCCGCCGCUGGGGGCCGAAUGAAGGAGAGACCUGGCGAUGGAAAUGAGAGAGUGAAGGGAUUCUGUUCUGUCAAAGAGAAGGGGCGGCUUCUCUUUGAUCUUGGUCGGAUUCUCUAAGUCGGCUGAGGGGAGAAGGGGAGAGUGAAGGGGAGAUGGGGGAGUGCAGAGGAGGCUGCUCUGGUAUGGGAGAAGAAGCUGGAAAUAAGGGAUGUGGGAGAAGGAAGGAAAAUGAGGGCUGGUCUUCUUCUCAGUCGGCUCUAGGGAGAACCAAAGGACGUGAGGGGUUGGUCUUGGUUUUUGGCUGAGGAGAAGGGGAGAGUGAAGGGGAGAUGGUAUGGUGAGCUGCGGUUGGAACUGGGGGAAAGAAAAAAAAGCUUCUGGAUGAUGGGGGGGGGGGCUUGGUGUGAAAGAGAUAGAAUUAGGGUUUCUUUUUUUUUUUCAAAAUUGCCCCCCACUUUUUUUGUGUGUGUUGAAAGCUACUAUUUGUAGGCAAAAUAUUGUUUGGUCCCCAAACUUUGUCCCUCGACUUCUUCUUUUUUGUAAAUUUUGAUUUUUUUUUUGUAUUUUUUGAAAACGAGCAAUAUCAUUGAUUUUAAAAAUGAUGCAUGAAAAGUAGAACGCGUUCAAAAGACCUUAGAAAAUUUAAAUUCUUUUAAGACGACGCUGAAAAUGCUAAAAACGAUGCAAAUAUAUUAAAAAUAUAUUUUUUGGAUUUUCAUUGUUUUUUCGCUAUUUUUUUAUUUUUCGAAAAUUUAUCAAAAAGAUGGGUAAAAAUUGGGUAAGAACACUCAUUUCUGCAUAAUUAAAGGGUUUAAAUACUUAAAACAAGGAAUUCAAAUAGCUACAGUUAACGAAAUAAUAGUUAAUAGCUAUGGACCAACCCUUCCAAUGGAAUGAUGCCAGCAAAUCCUCCUGCAUGAGGCACGUCUCUUGCAUGAUUCAUGUCAUAAACCAUGGAUUCUUGAUAGGAACACGUAGUGACCUUCUUGGUGGUUUAUCAAAAGAGCUAUAGACAUUCCAUUCUCAGAGUAGAGAAGCAGCAAAGACAAUCCUUACAUGAUCCCACUUCCAACAGAGAAUAUUAAUUAACUAGAAAUCGAAACAUUGCUUAAGUCAUAAUCAGAGGUGAAGGCGAUAAGUAGGAGUGGCGCACAGAUGGUUUGCUCUCGGGGUUACAAGACCAAACGCCUCAGUCAUGUCCACUUCCUCCCGCAACAUAUUUUUACGAAGCUCCCAAUCAAAGCAAUGCACCAGCUGUGCCACAAUUUGCAGAUCCAUGGUUAGUCCCAAAUGCAUUCCAGGGCAGCCCCUGCGCCCAGCCCCGAAGGGGAGAAGCUGGAAAUCGCGUCCACGAACAUCUAUGUUACUCCCAGCAAACCUCUCUGGAAUAAACUUAUUUGAAUCAGUCCAAGCACUUUGCUCGCGUCCAAUAGCCCAAACGUUUACAAUAACACGUGUUUUUUGCGGGAUUAGGAAGCCAUCUAUGGUGCAAUCUUCCAUUGACUCGUGAGGGAUAAGUAGAGGUGCCACUGGAUGGAGCCUGAAAGCUUCCUUUAUAACCAUGUGCAAGUACUCCAAGCCCUCCAAGUCUGAUUCUUCCACCAUUCUAUCCAUGCCUAUUUUCUCUUCCAGCUCUUUCUGGACUUUCUUCAUUACUCUUGGAUGCUUGAUGAGCUCGGAGAGAGUCCACUCAAUUGCUGUGGCUGAGGUGUCCAUUGAGCCUACAAGCAUGUCCUGAAAGAGAAAGGUACAGAUUUAAGGAUAAUCAUGUGAUUUAUGUGCUGCUUACUAACAGUUAUUUUAAUUCUAUGCAUUCUUACCAUGAUUAUGGCUUUGAUGUUGUCUCGAACAAUACGAUACUCAGUUUCUUCAGAUCCCAAGAAGUCCAACAUGACAUCAACAAAAUCUUUGGUUCUGUUUUCAUCCUUGAAUUGAAUGUGCUCAUCAAUAAUCUUCUCAAAGAAGUCAUCAAAUACCUUGCCUACGGCCUUCAUGCGCUUUGUAAGACCCUGAAGGUCAAGUGGCGCAAUUGGAGGGAUGUAAUCACCGAAGUUAAAACUUGCUGCUAAACGCAUGCCCUCAUGAAUCACUGGUUUGAACCCCUUCUCAUGAAAUUCCUUUUCCAUGUAUUUCUUUCCUAAAACCAUCCUACAACUGAUGUCAGCGCUUAGAGAUGAGACCUUUGGCACUAAGAUCAACAGCAACACGCUCACGAGAAGCAUCUUUAAUGUAGUCAAUCAAGAGGUCAAGCUCUUCUUUCCUUGAGGACAUGAAAGAAAUUAUUUUAUGGUUGCUAAGCAACUCAAGGGUACAAUCUUGCGCACGUUGCGCCAAUAAGAGCCAUAUGGAGCAAAUGAUAAGCUCUUACCGUAAGAGAUAUGCUUCGCAGCCUCAUUUGGUGGCCUAUUAGCAAACACGAGGUCAUGGGUCUUAAGAAUCAAUUCGGCAGCCCGAGGCGAUGAGACAACUACAGCAGGCACCAAGCCUAACCGCAUAUACAUGAUAGGGCCAUACUUGUUUGCUAGUUGAUGCUAGUCUUGAUGAGGGAACUUCCCUAGCAAAUGUAAGCUACCAAAUAUAGGAAACCCUAUUGGACCAGGGGGCAACUUGCUAUCCUUGAUCUUUCUUUUCGACAGCCAAGCUCGGAGGAAGAAAGCGAGCGCAAUCAAGGCUAGAGUGGUUAAUAUCCAAGCCAUGCUGUGUCUGAUUUAUUAAGGUUGGGUUCUAUGUGCCAGUGGUGAGCUAUAGCUAGCUUUUCUUAGUGAAAGCAAACCUAAAUCCAACUCUUGCUUCAUAAAGAGAAGACGCUACACAUAGUCGUAACUAGGGAGAUGAUAACAGGAAGAAGACAAACUGGGGAUAAGUUCAAUGUCUUUGUUUGUAUCGCUUCUUGUUUUUUAUUUUGAAGAAAGGGAUCAAUUGUGGAUAUCUGAACUCAUUUACUUGUCUCAAUUUGGUUCCACCAAUUCUACUAGUAGGAGGAAAUCAAUCAAGAAAAAGACAUCAAUGUUAGUAUAAAGGUGUGGUUUCUUGCGUGUAAGAGUGCGACAUAGACACAUGGAUAAUAACUGUUUUUAUAUUUUAAAAGUGUUUAAUAAAAGAUUUAAUUUUUUUUUAUUUUAAAUUAAUAUUUUUUGAUGUUUUUAUAUUAUUUUAAUAUGCUGAUAUAAAAAAUGAUUUAAAAAAAUAUUAUUUUAAUAUAUUUCUAAAUGAAAAAUAUUUUGAAAAGCAAUUGCUACCACACUCCCUAACAUUCUGAAAAUUUUUAACAGGAUCUACAGGUAGACUGUUUCAAGGUAGUGAUAUUUUAGCUUCUUCUAGUCGAUAAAAUUUGUUUGUAGGGCUAAUCUUAUCUCUAAUGGAAGAUUCUAUUAAGAAGAGUUAAAUUUCUUUUUCUUUUUCUUUUUCUUUGAUUUAUUUUUAAUCAUAUCCUUCCAAGUGAAAAAGACAGAUUGAGACCCUUAUAACAUUAUUAUAACAGCUAGGACAGAAACAAGCUUAAUCCCAAAAAUUAUUGUUGGUGCGCUUGUCGUGAUUGAUUAUUUAUACAAACCUAACUGUUGGCCAUCGUCAAACCAUUAAUCACUGUUGAUGGAUGAAGAUUCAUCAAAACAUUUUUAAUAUUUAAUAGAAAGAUAUUUACUUUUAGCAUAAGCCCAUAAUAAUCAUCAACCCAAUUAAUAGGCUCAUAUCUACCACCUUGUGGGCUCGGGCUGCAUACCCGAGCCCAACACCUUGUUGAGGGCUCGAGCGCACAACGCGAGCCCAAUGUUGAGUGCGAGCGCAACAUCUUUUGGGCUCGAGUGGUGUUCCCGAGCCCAAUCCCAAGGGUUGUGACUGGUCAUUUUGGGUCAUUGUCUGUUUUUUUAGCCCAUUAACAUGGCUUGGUUUUCUUGGACAUAGUGAGUGUCUUAGACCCAUUUUACUUCUUCCUUCAUUAAUGCAUGUGGAAGACAUAUCUUCCCUUAUUAAUGCAUUUGUAACAGAUAUUUAUUUCUUAUAAAUGUUAUCAUUGUAAAUUUAUUCUUCAGUCCUCCACUCAAUAAGAAGCCAAAGUUCAAGGAUUAUAAAUACCCCUUGAACUAUCUAGGUAAAAGGUUCAAGACUUUACAUUCAAAAGACAUAUAUAUCCAACACAAAAAUCACUUUGUUCUUAGAAUUUAAGGCUCUCAAGCAUAUUUAUUACUCAUUUUCUCUAUAAGAUUAUCUAUUUUACCAUCGGAUGAUCUUUAAAUCCCCCAAAAGAGAACUUUUUAUAGGUAUCCAGAGGCAUUUAUCAAGAGAUAAUUUCCUUCAUUUUGAAGAAAAAGAGUCAUUUGAAUGUACAUUUGAUUAACAUAUAAUUCAGCCACCAAAAAACCUUAUUCCAAAGCACAUCGGAUUUUUAAACAUCAUCAAUUGGCAUCGUUUGUAGGGAAACAAUUAAAAAAACCAUCAAUUUUUUUGUUCUUUUUUAAUUGAUUUUUUUUUAAUUUCACCUUUCAACAACUCAUAACCCGGAUCGCAAGUUUGGUAGAUUGACAUGGGAUGACACGGUUUAUUUUUUUGGAUUCUUUUUAAUUUUUUUUUUCAAUUUCACCUUCCAACAACUCAUUCUUUUUAUUUAGUUUUUUCUUUAUAAUAUUAAGUUGUUUGGGAAUUGAGUUUCAUAAUGUUUUUUCUAUUUUCUUUUGGUUGUAUUAUCCUUAUCUCAUGGAUUUAGUUUUUUUUCCCUCGAUUUCAAUAUUUAAUAUUGAAUUUGUUUGGGGAUUUAGUUUCAUAACGAGGAUAUUGAUUGGCAUAGAUAUAUAGAAAAUUUUGACAGGAUUAAAAUUGCUCAGUCAACUACUAUAUACGGAAUUUUUGGCUCUCCCGACAUCAAUAAGAGGGUCAUGCAAUGAGGAGCUGAAUGAAAAUUGACUCUGUCACCAUCUUGCUGAUAGACGCUGUGCUGUAACUUUGUCUUCGUGGGAUUGAAAUUGAACCUAACCUUGAUUUCAAGGUCUUUUAAUAGUCUUUUUUAUCCUUGCAGAAAGCAAUCUAGGGUUGUUCUUCAUCUACUUAAGAUGCCUCAGUCAUGAAAUGAAACUCGAAGUCAGAAUUGACAUAUCAAAAGCAUGUUGAGAAUGAGCUUGCAAAUGUGUUGUUAGAAAUGAAAUCAUGGCAGACAUCGCAGCAUUAAUUUGUGGUGUUGAUUUUUGUUCAUUUGCAAUGAAUUUUUAAUUAUCUGCCUUCUUUUGUUUACACAAUCUUGUCGUCUAACAAAUAUUUUGUAUCAAAUAUUUUGUGGGAUUUAAGCUUUAGUUGAACUCAGUUGUCAAAAUGGGUUCACUGCCUUCAAAAUGGAUUUAUGCAUCUGAGCAUUGACUCGUACACGUCUAAGUGAACUGCAAUGUCACACAUAGAUACAUUUGUUCUAUCUUUUCAGGUGCAAGCUGCUAUGGCAACUUAUCACUUUGUUGAGUAUUGCACUUCAAAUAUGUUAGAACCUCAAUUUGAUGAGAUUAUCAGUAAAUUGCUCAGAUGCCUACAGGUGAGGUAGCAUGUGAUCUUUCUAAUUGUGUGUGCAUUCAUUCACAGCAUGUGAAAUACCUUUUUGAAUAUUGCUUCCUGUGGAGGAUCUAGCAUGUUUUUUCUUUUUUUCGAGCUUUCCUUGAUAAAUAUAAAAACUCACAUGCACAUGCAUAAUUGUACAAAAAGAAGCCCGAGUCCAUAUGCAACUAUAUCUUGUCUCUGAUCUGCAGUCUUUAUGUUGAUUUUGCAUUUGCACAAUCCAGAAAGGGAAACAACUAUUGAAACUGUGGGCCUUAUCAGCAUUAGCAGCAAUUGCUAAGUCAUCACAGGUACCAGUCAAGAGUCAAGAGUUGCUUGUGGCCUAUUUUAAUUUUUCUGGUUUUUUAUAUUAAUUAUUGUACUUUUGCAGGACCGGUUUCUAGAGUAUUACAGAACAGUUAUGCCUUACCUAAAAGUUGUGAUGACGAAAGCAGAAGGGGAAUCUAACAGCAAGCUCCUUUCUGCAACUGUUUCGUGCAUUACAGCAAUUUGGACGGUUUUCGGAAAGGACAAGUUCGGUGACGAUACUCAACAGGUAAUAAUCAGUACUGGAAAUGUAAGAUGCGGCUUUCGGAUAGGGUAGUAAGGGGUUUUGAUAUAAAAGAUUCUCGAGUUCUAGUUAUUUGCUUGUUAAUCCUGCUGGUGUACCAAAAAAAGAUGUAAUUUGCCGGCAUAAAUAAGUUAUAACAUUUAUUUAGACAAAGAAAACUGUUUCUGUUUAUCUUAAAACAGUAAUCUGUUUAUAGUUCUUUACAUACUGUACUGAAUUUGGAUUCAUGGAUGGGUUCAGAAGUCUCUUGAAGCCACCCAAAUCAGAUAUGUUUUAGAGUUUGCAAGACAUAUUGACCUAAGUACUUUUUAGUAUAAUGUUUUUGUUAGAACACAUUCAUACAGUAGCAUUAUUGACCCUUUUUUUUCUUAUGCAAGGUUGUGCAACUUCUUGUUUCCACACCCAUAUCAAAUCUGGAGAUACAUGACCCAAUGAGAAUUGAAGGGUUAAGAGUAUGUUAAUAGUAGUUGUACAGUUUCCACUGAAAAAAAAAAUUGGUUCUUUACUAUAACCUUGUUCUUCACUGAAACAUGUAAGAUACUGCAGGCAUGGGGCAGACUUUGCAAAUGCUUAGGCCACAAGUUCCAGCCUUAUAUGGAAGUAGCCAUUCCUUGUUUGCUUCAAUCUGCGCGGCUCACUUUGCCUGAUGAUGCUAACGUUGAAGAAUCGGAUAUGAAAGGUUAGUCUUCUUAUUAGAAAUCUUAAAAAUUACAAGAGAAACAGAUUGAUGAGCUGAAAAAUAAAUGGCAGAACAUGAAUGUUAUUCAUAUAUAUGCAAUUCUGAUUUUCACAUAUAAGCGAUGGAUGAAGUGAUUAAUCAUUCUAAAUCAACUUCACUCUGAAAUAUUGAAUAUGUGUCUUGCAAACUCUAAAAUUAGUUCAAUAAUUUUGUCAAAACUUGGAACCCACGUAAUAAGUACAGGAUCAAGUAUAAACCCUGCUAUUUUUGGAUAUAUAUUUUUUUUAUGGCUGAUGUAUCAAUUUUCUGUGUGGAACACUAACAAGAAACCGGAUGAUUCAAAUCAAAACUGAGACUCUGGAGGAGAAAGCCACAGCUUGUGUAUCGUUGCGUGAUUGCGUUGCUGAACUCAAAAGAAGGCAUUGAUUUAUGGAUUGAUGAGGUGGUUAAAUUUCUAACACAUAAUAGUUUCCAUAGCUUGACCUAUAUGAGCAAAUGUGAGCAAAAUUUAGAAUGGCUGAGCAUCUGUGCAGGUUGCUGAAACUUUAGUUCCACUUCUCAAUUUUUACGAGCAUGCUGAGGUUAGAAUAGCUGCUGUAUUAGGUAAUUAAAAGCUAAUGUAGUCUCCAAUAAUUACUUUUAUGCAUUUCUUAACCAUCUCCAAUAAUCACAAUUUCCUUUCUGCUUUGUAACUAGCCAUGCCUGAAAUACUGAAAUCGUCGAAAGCAGCAAUAUUUGAGAAAAGGCUUCUUAAGAAAUCUCCCUUUGAAAAGUUGUGUUCUGAUAUAAUACCAGCUUUGGUUGAAGCACUGGUUAAGGUUAUCCUGUAAUUUAUAAUUAAUAUUAUUAUUAUUGAAUUGAAUCAGAUACCUUGUGAUUAUGAGAAAUCUUUAACUACUACUAGUAUUGUUUGUAGGAAGAAGUCAUUAAAAUUAGUGCAGUAAUGUUGGAUUCCUUGGAGGAUUGCUUGGAGGUCUGUAGCAUUUUUUUCCCCUUAAUGUGUUAAUUGGUCCACUUAUAAGAACAUAAAUAUCAGUCUGAGAAAUUUCUUUAUUCUAUAUGUUGUUAAGAAAGACUACGCAUUCUCUUCCUAUGAAAAGAACUGCAUUUUAUGCGUCAAAUAAAAAGAUAUAGAUAAUCAUGCAUCUGCUAACUCGGGCCACAGCUCAGGGGAAAAGAAAAGGAGUCAUGGCUCAAAAUUAGUUGCUUGGUGUUAGAUAUUCUGAUUUAAAAUUAGUUUUAGCGUUCUACUUGGUCUAGAAUAUUCCCAGCAUGGAAUGAAGAGGAGACUGAUCGUUCCAACUUUUGCUCAUCUCUCCGGCAUGAAAAAUCUUAAAUUGCUCCAUAUGCGAAUACCCACUUUUAAUCUCCAUGGUGUGUAUAAAUUGUUAUCUGACAGUUGAGCAUGGACUCUGAUGACCAGGAAGCUUAUAUGGCUCCAUCCUUAGAUUUGACUGGAUUACUUUCCUCAUGCUGAAUAGUCUAGGUCUCUAGGGAAGAAUUGAUGCUAGCUCUUAUCUUAUCAGCACAAACUUCUCUCUUUCAGUUAUCGGGACCUGUUUUAAAUAUAGAUCAGAUCAAGCGCUUCUUGUCUGUAAUAAUGGACGUUCUCGACACUAGCAUAUCCAUUCCCAAAGGUGAUGAAGCGUCAGAGCAAGGAGAAAAAGUUAGUAAGAAAGUAAGUGAUUGUAUCACUUUUCACCGGAUGAUUGACUCCGCAACCGCUUGGCUUGCUUUCAUUUCAUAAGGAUAUUAUAGUAAGUGUUUUUUCUUAUCACAUAUUUGUUUCUUCAUAAAGGUUUGUGCUUGCUUGAAGAUUUUCAUGAAAACUUACAAGGGUUCCUUGUUGCAAUUCUUCGACCAGCUUUUAUCACGUAUGGAACAUAUGUGGGUAGGUUUCUUUCUUUAAGUCUUCCAUUUUUUUACCCUCUCUUACAUAAGCUCAGUUUACUGUGAUUCCCCUGUUAGUGACCAAUUAGUAUGUUGAUGUCUCAUGCUUAGUGAGCAGCAUUCGCAUCUGUAUAAAAGGUUGAACGGCCAUGUCCAUUUUUAAAAUUGGCCUUUUCUUGUAAUGUAGGUUUAGAUGUCAUUCCACUCUUAGGUGAGAAAUUUCUGGCAUGAAAAUCUUCAGUAUUAUGUUGAAAGUUGUUUUCCUUAAAUCAUAUUGCUUGAGUACGAGGCAUGGGAAUAGAAAACUGGAUAUGUUGAAGAAGGUGCGUGUAGAGGUUGAUUCUCUAGUCAAUUGUAAUGCUCCAUCUGAUAAAGAAUGGGAAAAUUACCAGUGCACACUUUUUUACUCUUUGAAUAACAUAUUGUGAAUAUGAGCCCAUGGAGGUUCAGAAACAGGGAGACAGAGAACUGAAAAAUUGAGAGAUCUCUGCUCCAUUUAUUGUCUUGCCGCAGGUUAAGGAUAAAACAGUUAAAGAAAGAAAAAUUGCCUUGAAGAUUUUCGCUGAUGUUGUAGAGGAAUUCCGAGAAGAAGCUUUGAAGUAAGCCUAGUCCUUUUUAAUUUGGUUAGAGAAGGUAAAUUUAAUGCACUAUAAUACCAAAUUGAUAAAAAGCAGGUUCUGUGAGAGUGAACUCUUGUUGCUAUUUAAAGCUUGCAAUGAUGAUGAACCAGAAGUUCAAGAGGUCUGUUUAUAACCCAGCCUAGCGAUGACAGUGAUGUUGUGCACCUCGUAAAUAGAGAAAAUCUCUUAUUCAGAACAUGAAUUAUUGCAGGUUGCUGCACAUGGAAUUGGUGUUGCUGCAGCCUUCGGUGGAUCUAUCUUCAAACCUCUGGUUGGAGGUAGCUUGUCUAUUCUUCAUGUAGUCCUCUUAUUACCUGCGUGCAGUAUUUAUACAAUAAAUCCCAUUGGUUUUAUUUGGCAGAAGCAGUUUCUGCUCUAAAUGCUAACAUAAGCGAUUCAAUGGCAUUGCACCGAGAUUACAUAAUGGCCCAUGAUGCUGCUGUUACAGCUCUCGAACAAAUAUACCUAUUCCACAAGGACAGAAUCAAUGCAAGUGAGGUGCAUUGCUACUCUUGCUUUUUAUAUUUUGUAUAUUUAAGUAGUUUUGAAUUUGGUCUAGAAGUACAGAAUAGUGAUUUCAUUUUGCAAUUCAAGCAAUCUAGCUAGCUAAAAGACUAUUUCUUGUAACUUCAAUUGAGGGGUAACGUGAGGUGGUAACAUGGCAGAAGUAGUCUACCAUUACUUUGACAUCUUUCCACCUACCAAAACUAAAAUUUUUGAUGAUUUUUUCCAGCUUCUUCAAUAUUCCAAAGUUUUGGAAACAUGUUUUCAAAAUCUAGAAGGGCUGGUAACACAGACUAAUUUAUUUUGUUGGCUUUACAUAGCAGAAAUGGCUCGGGUGUAGGGUUGUCAAUUUUGUAUCUCUGAAGAGAUUCAGUAUGAUAUUUGUGUCUGGUGCUAAAGCUGAAGCAACUCUCCCCCAUUCUGGUUUUUGACUGCAAUAACAGCCAAGAGCUAUAUUAUCAAGGUGUAAGAAAUAUUCAGGUGUAAGUGUGCUCUUACUGUCACAGAUGGUAGUAAGGAUUAUAAAAUCACAUCUGUAACUUAUUGUAACCCAUAGACCAAUCUGAAAUGUCUACAAAGGAACGUGGUCUAAUAUUUUCAAUCUUCUAAGUUAUCUAAUGUAAUUUACCGAAAAGUUGCUGUUGAGAUUUUCUACAGGUCCCAGAGGGAGUUUUCUACAGCUCUCAGUCUGUGGAAGCAAUUUGAUACUAUAUUUAUGCUACCAGUAAUACGAAUAGUUGUAAACUUUAUGCUAGAAGUUCCAGCAGAGUUUUUCAUGCUGAAUUUUGCUAGAAAUGCUAAUUUUAUGAUUGGAUAUUUUCUACUUGUAUGCAAGAUCUCUCCGUAGGCAAGUGAUUUGUUAUGUAAAAUCUUCCUUCCUCCUAUCCUUUUCAAAUUGGAUUGUGCUAAUUAUUUCAUCAACUUCCAUUUCUAUCAUGUUUCUUCUUCCUUCUAUUCUACAGACUCUUACAACAUUUAUUUCUAAUCUACUUAGCAGGUGUUUAGUACAUGGUUAAGCCAUUUGCCAAUAAAGAACAAUCUACUGGAAGUCAAAAUUGCACAUGAUCUGCUGUGUUCAAUAGUUGAGAUGCAAGCCAUAAGAAAUUUAUUUUACCAUAUGAAACUGGUGUAACUAUAAUUGUCAGAAUCAACUGUUUGUUGCAUUUGUUAUUCUCUCAGAUCAGAGGACGAACUUCUUCGCUAAGAUUUUGCUUGUCUUCCCAAAAUCAUCGCUGCUUUUGCAGAGGUAAUUUCUCUCUCUGACCUGUUGUGGCUAAUACUCGUAAUAUCUCUCAGUUUUUCCACCUCCAUAAGAUUUAACACUUUUCACUUUCUCUAAGUAGUUCCUAUAAGAUCCAGAGUCAUAAAAAUAGUAUAUUGCUUGUGAAAUCUUUCCAGUCUCUGGCCUUUGGAAAGACAUCAGGUAUAUGGUACAUUUUGCAUUCAAGUACAAUUUUACAAGACUUGGCACCAAAAGAGUCUUUAUAUACUAGUCAAAAUACACAUAACAUAGUCUUCACUCGUCGUUAAGUUUCUGCAAGUUCUGAAAACGAAAUACUAAUUUCUGCUGUGAAUACUUUCCUUGCAGAUACUAUGGGCUGAUGAUGAAACUUUAGCAACAGAGGAAACCGUCAACCGAGUGAUUAAACAGUUGAGGGACUUUAAGAGCAGGUUACCAUCAAACAUCUGGUCAUCUAUCCUGUCAACCUUGGAACCCUCUCGUCAGAAUGUUGUGCAACUUUCAUUGUCAUCUUAGUUCUUUAUUCCUGGUCAUCAUGGAGUCCCUUGAGAUUGAGCAAGGAUUUGUCAUGGAUACUCCUGUUUGAGCCGUAUUAAACAAUAUAAAGCACUUGUUUAGUGAAACAUUCUUUUUCUGGUAAAUCUUCUCUUCCUUUUUCUCACUACAAACGGUUGCAUUAAACUCAAUCCAAGAAAGUCAAAGACGGCAACCACCUCCUGCAGUCACCGCCAGCCACCAGCUGUCAGCCGCCUUCACAAAUCGCCAGUCACAUUCACACCACCGCCAACUAAGAUUUUUUCUUACUUUCAAUUUGUGUAUAAAUAGGCAGCUAAGUUUAUGUUACUGUGUGUGGAAAUAUAAGAGACAAACACUAAAGAGAAAGAGAGAGUGUGUAUUAAGAGCUUUUGUUUAUUUUGUAAGUUUCUUGUUGUUGAAAUAAAACAGUGUGUUUUAUCCUCUCUGGGUGUUUCAAAGCCACCACCAGUGGUUUAUCCCACCAACAAUUGGUAUCACAGCCUUGUUCUUAACAAAAACAAAGGCGUUGUUGGGAUACAUCCGUUUUUUCAAAGUUGUCAAAAACACAUUUUGAUUAUACCACGGUGUAGGGUUCAUCAAUCCCAACUCAACGGUGCAAAAUCAGCUUCAUCGAAGCCAGAGGUAGCCCACACGCACCUCCUGAAAUUUCGUCAUUGUAGCCCACGCGCCCAGAGGAAGAAGACGACUGAGCAACACGCGCACCAUAUUUGAGCCACGCCGAGCCGCCUAAUCCGCCGCCAAGCCAAGCCGCUAGCCGAGCCAAAAGAAUAUUCCCCAGAAUAUUCCUGGUUCAACCCCAGCGAACCGCCCGACGUCCAGAAUCGGUUUCCUGACCAGUUCAGCCCAAUUUUGACCCAUUUUAAACAAAGUCAGACCGGUUCCCUACUGUUUUGAGCAUUCUGGACCCAUCUACAAUGUUUGUUUUGCCAAAUUCAACUCCCAAAAGGUGAUUUAGUCAUUCAAAUAGCAAAAUGACUACAGAAAAUACACAAACACUCAUCCUGAAGUUGACCAAAGACAACUAUGAUAGUUGGUGUAUCAGAUUGAAGGCAUUUCUUGGUUCACAAGAGUGUAUAGAGAUUGUGCAAUAUGGUUAUGACGAACCAGAGUCCAAAGAAGCAGAAGAUGCUCUACAAGAGGUCGAGAAGCAAGUCCUCAAAGCUAAUAGAAAGAAAGACAACAAAGCAAAGACCAUCAUCUAUCAAGGUCUUGAUGAAGCAAUAUUUGAGAUCAUUGCUUUUGCAGAAACAUCAAAAUAGAUAUGGGAGGCUCUCCAACAAAAAUACAAAGGUGCUAAUAGAAUCAAGAAGAUUUGUCUCCAAUGUUUGCGAGGUGAAUUUGAAUUAUUACAAAUGAAGUCCUCGGAAUCUAUUUCUGAUUAUCACACAAGAAUUAUGGUGAUAGUCAAUCAGAUGAGAAGAAAUGGAGAAGCCCUUACAGAUGCUCGGAUUACUGAGAAAAUUUUGAGAUCCCUAGAUCUAAAAUUUGAUUUUGUUGUUUUCGCUAUUGAAGAGUCCAAAGAAGUGGACAAGUUGAUGGUGGAUGAGCUUAUGAGUUCUUUGCAAGCUCAUGAGCAAAAGAUUGUGAAAAGAAAUGGAGAUAAGGCAAUUGAGCAUGCCUUACAAGCAAAGUUGUCUCUCAAAGACAUAUAUGAGCAAGGGGAGACUUCAACAAGUGGCUACCACUUGGGGAAGAGGUCAACAAAGACAAGGAGGAUUUCAGCGAUUUCAAGGAAGAGGAUCUUGGAAUACAGGAUUUAGAGGAAGAGGUGGUAGAAACACCACUAGAGGAGGUCGAGGACAAUAAGCAUUCACUCCUAGAGGAAAAGGAGGCAGUUACAAUAACCGUGACAAGAGGAAUAUCCGGUGUUAUAGUUGCAAUCAAUUUGGGCACUAUAACAUUGAAUGUCGAAGGAAAGCUCCAUUAGAGGUACGUGAACAAGCCAACUACGCAGAGGAGGAUGUCGUCAUCAGAGGAUCAACUGCAUUAUUUGUCCAACAAGGACUUGGCGAGAAUCAAGAGAAUAUUUGGUAUCUAGAUUCUGGAGCCAGCAAUCACAUGUGUGGCGAACGGGAUCUAUUUGGUGAUUUAGAUGAGACCAUAAAAGGUCUAGUCACAUUUGGAGAUACCUCAAAAGUACCAUUUAAAGGUAAAGGCAACAUCCCAAUCAAGUUGAAGAAUGGCGAUCACGGCUACAUCGCAGAUGUUUACUAUGUUCCAGCCAUAAGGCACAACUUACUGAGUGUAGGUCAACUUAUGGAGAAAGAUUAUACUCUUUUCAUGAAGAAUUGUCAUCUGACAAUCAAAUACUAUAAUGGGAGAUUAAUUGCCUAUGUGAAGAUGUCCAAGAAUAGGAUGUUUCCUUUAAACAUCUAAUAUGAUGCAGCAAAGUGUUUGAGUGUCAUCACCAACAAUGAAGAGUGGCUUUGGCACCUAAGACUUGGACAUCUGAAUUUCACAAGUCUGAAGAUGCUAGCAAGCAAGAAUAUGGUCAAAGGUAUGCCCCACAUUGAUCAUCCAGAUGAGAUCUGUGAGAGUUGUGUCCUCAGCAAACAUCAUAGAUCUAGUUUUACCAAAGAAGUCAACUGGAAAGCAAAUAAACCACUAGAGUUAGUGCACAGAGAUGUGUGUGGUCCCAUAAAGCCUAUGUCAACUUGACAAAAUAGGUACUUCCUUACUUUCAUUGAUGAUUUUAACAGAAAGAUAUGGAUAUACUUUUUGAAGAAGAAGUCAGAAGUGUUGAAUUGUUUUAAAGAUUUUAAAGGGGGGAUUUGUUAUAUUAAACUCAUUCCAAGAAAGUCAAAGACGACAACCACCACUUGCAAUCACCGCCUGCAGUCACCGCCAGCCACCUUCUCAAACUGCCAGCCACCAGCUGUCAGCCGCCUUCACAAAUCGCCAGUCGCAUUCACACCACCGCCAACUAAGAUUUUUUCCUACUUUCAAUUUGUGUAUAAAUAGACAGCUAAGUUUAUGUUACUGUGUGUGGAAAUAUAAGAGAGAAACACUAGAGAGAAAGAGAGGGUGUGUAUUAAGAGCUUUUGUUUAUUUUGUAAGUUUAUUGUUGUUGAAAUAAAACAGUGUGUUUUAUCCCCUCUGAGUGUUUCAAAGCCACCACCAGUGGUUUCUCCCACCAACACAAACAAGUUUUUUAGUGGAAGGAAGGUGAUUUUUUCUUAUAAAUAAUAGGAAAUAAAGUCGGCAAUUAAACAGAUAGUAACAAAUAACAACAAUUUAAGUCAAUCUCAUUGAAAUCUGCAAUAUAUAAGGUGAAAAGAUUCCUAGUUGGUUCAGGAAUCCGAAGCUACCUAGGUUUUAGAUCUUGUAUAACUAAGUGUUCCUCUCAUGUUAUAAAGUCUCAUGGCUCUCUCCUUCUCUGUCACUCGAUCAUCUCAAUCUCCCCACUCUCAGUUUUUGUUUCAACUACUAUUGGUUAGAGAUAUAGGAAGACUUUGGUGACUUGCGUUUCCAUCUUACUCCACUCGACAUAGUUAAACUAGGAGAUGCUUCCAUGAUAUAUGACAAUUUCAGCGUUAAGGUUGAAGCCUCUUUCAUGCCUCCAAUACUUGACGAAGAGGAUCUCGAAGAAUACGAAUCAAAGGUUUUUGAUCACUACCAUAAAAUUGAUAAAUGCAAACGGGAAAUAUCAAUGAAAUUUUUUUAUUGGUAUAUUACAAUGACCUUUACUAACAGAAUUUUUCAUCCCAGCAUCCAUCGAUAAACACCAACAGAAAAAAUCUCCUGGUAUAUACUAAGUGAAUUGCAGUGGGAAAAUAAAGAAUGAAAAAAAAAGUCAAAUAGUACGAUGACGUGUAACUUUUAUAGAUGACAUUACCAACAGAAAUAACCCAAUGGUAGAGUACGUCUCGUCCGUAAAUAUGCCGAUGGAAAAAUUUCGUCGGUAUAUACCGAGAGAAUUAUGGAGGGUAUUAUAGUGAGAUUCAAAAAAUGCAAAUUGAACGGUGAUGUGGCAUUUUUACCGAUAGAGUUAUUGAUGGUGCUUUCACAAUGACGUGUUUAAUAAUUUUUGAAAAAAUAAUUUCAUUUAACGAAUGCAAUUUUAGGUUUAUAAACAUUGAGGCUGCAAGAACAAUAACAUCGACUUUUAAAUCAUCGAUAGAAAUUUCAUUAUUUCAAUGGAGCCAGGUUUCCAAACAUCCUGAAUGGAAACCGUAGGUCAAUGCAUGGUUUUCAAGGUUCAAGGGUUAAUAUUAACUUAAAUAUUUUUUGUGUUAAUUUGGUUAGUUUAUUGAAAAUACUAAGAUUUUCCUUUUAUAAAUUUUUAUUUCAUGGGAAAAUUUGAAUGGGAGAGAGCUGAUAAUAAUAUUGUUAUGAGGGUUUGGGAGAAUCACGCUUCAAUUAGGUAAGAUCAAAUUCAGGAUAAUUUUUUUUAUUCCAAAUAUUAAAAUUUUAUUUUUUAUUUACUAACAAAUAAUUAAUUUAUACCAUAUAUGUUAUGUGAUUUUUUAUACGAAGCACAAAAGAAAGCUAAAAAAUAUGCGAAAGAAAGAGAACUUCUAGGUUAGAAUGAUGUGGCAGUUUAAAAAGAUUUUAGAACGCUGUACGUUUUAAAGGCUAUAUGGGUGCAAUACAUUUAGCACGUGGUGUCUGCACUUUUCACAUGACGGUCACAGUCUGGUGUGGAAAAUCAGAACCGGCAUGUUCAUGGCUUCAUUACCACACACAUCGGCGACUCUGUUUCAUUUGUUUCACAUGCGAAGUGGAUGGUAGGAUUUUUGUUUACUACAUCAAUAUUUUUAUUAGUUUUUUUAUAAAUAUAUUUAAUUAAUGAUAUUUUUAUCUUACAGGCUACGGUUCUUAGACGCGAACCAAGCUCGAUGGAGCUUUUUGUUAAAACACAAGUGCGGAGUGAUGACCGCUAAAAAGAGAUGCAGGAGUUCAUAGAUAACCGAGCUCAGCACUUUGUGGUUUGUUGGUUUUCAACCAUUUUUGUUCUUAAGUUAUUAUUUCCUUGAAUUUGAUGAAUUUAUUUUUUCUUUCCAGGAUACAUAUAAUAGCCGGUUGAAAGAGAGAUACGAGAAAGAACCUUUAACACAUCCGGAUCUUGAUCCGAAUUUGUGGUUGGAGGUAGGAUCGUCCGGUGGACCCGAUAAAAAUUAGGUAUACGGACUCUUUAACACUACAGUCGAGAACUUAUGGACUAUCCGUAGUGUUUCGAUCAUUGGAUGCUCGCAAUCGAUAUUUAGACCAACGAGUACAGGCUCAAAUGACCCAUCUUAAUGAAAAAUAUGAACUACUCACUACUGAUUAUGAAGAACUUCGUCGAUCGGUAAUGAUGAUGAGAUCAUAGAUGAGUGGUGCAUGUGCACCCCCUAAUUGGCCCCACGGUCUCGGCGACAACCAGCCUUCUGAUCCUCCUUCUCCUCAAGCACCACUUCUAUUUUAGAUUUAUUGUAUUUGAAAGUACAAAUGUUUAAAUUUAUAAUAAAUAUUUUAUUUUUAUAUUAUUUUAAUUAUUUUUCUACUUUUGUUCAAUAUAUUUUUAAAAUAUUACCGACAGGGUUACCGAUGAAAUAACUUUGUCGAUAUAUUCUAGAGAGAGUUGGAAAAGAAUUAUUGCAGAUGUCACUACUACUGUUAACUCACCGACGAAAUUACAAAUGGUAUUUUAUUAAUGAUAUGUUAUAUUUAUCGAUGGAUAUACCGACGGACAAAUAGAAACACCGAUGGCAUUACAUAUAGUUUUCCUAACAGUGAUAUGUUAAAUUUACCAAUGGAGAUACCGAUAGAAUGAAGCAUGUAAAUAUUUUUGGUGUGCUUUGUUCAUCUGUAAAUCCAUCGGUAUAUUUAUUACCGACAGACCAUAAAUUACCGAUGAGAGUUUUUUCGAUAGACUGUUUUCGUCCGUGAACCCGUCGGUAAUAUACGUACUGACGAACUGUAAAUGUAAAUACCAACAGAAAUGCAAAUGGAAAGAGGAAGAUGUCUUCAUUGAUCGUGAUCGGUUAUUGAAUGAUGACCAAGAAACAUCAAGAUCAAUUAUCCGUGAGAUUAUUGGUGAUUUGAAUAUCCCUACCAGGGCAUUCAUGAUUGACAAGAUAUUAACUUGUGCUCGGCAAUGGCUAUGGAUAAUCUUUACUUGAGUCGUAAGGUUUUGUAUACGAGGGUAAGAAUUGAUGUCCCAGCAGGUUUUGAGUCUUCAGAUGAUGAUACUGGGGCUGAGUUAAACUUAGCGCCUGCUACUAAAUCAUCCAAUGAGGCUUUGGAGGUUAUUAAAGUUGAAGAAGGCUAUGCUAAGCAGCCGUGUGCAGUUUGCUUCGAGGAACUUUUGAUUGGUGGUGAAGCAAUUAUGUUGCUUGUGGUUGGAGGCAGGAUCAUCUGGUAGGUCCGAUAGAAAUAGGGUGUACGAGACUCUCUAACACUACGCCCGAGAACUUGUGGGCAACUCAUGGUGUUUUGAUUGUUGGAUGCUCGCAAUAGAUUUUGAGCACUCAAACUCUAAAGUUCAUGGAUGUUAGACCAACGAGUACACACUUAGGCGACCCAUCUUAAUAAAAAAUAUAAACAACUCACUGCUGAUUAUGAUGAACUCUGCCGAUUGGUAAUGGAAAUGAGAUCACAGAUGGGUGGUAUAUGUACACCUCCUAAUUGGCCUCACGGUCCCAGCAACAACGAGCUUCCUCCUCCUUCUCUAGCUCCACCUCUAUUUUAGAUUUAUUAUAUUUGAACGUACAAAUGUUUACAUUUUUAAUAAAUAUUUUAAGUUAUUUUAAUUAUUUUUCUACUUAUAUUCAAUAUAUUUUAAAAAUAUUACUGACGAGGUUACCAAUGAAACAACUCUGUCGGUAUAUUCCAGAGAGAGUUGGAAAAGAAUUGUUGUAAAUGUCACUGCUACUGUUAACUCACCAACGGAAUUACAAAUUGUCAAAUAACCAUCUUAACCCAAUAGCUUAAGCUAUUAGGUGAAGUCCCAGAAUAUGAUUUAUAUUAUUCUCUAACGCACCCCUCAAGUGAAAACUCUUUGGGCUUGAAACUUGCACAGGCCCACAUUACCUUUGUGCUUAAUUUUUUAUCAAAUAAAUGGGGAUGGUGAGAUUCGAACUCGAGACCACUUGAUCAUCAAGGCUCUGAUACCAUGUCAAAUAAUCAUCUCAACCCAAUAGCUUAAGCUAUUAGGUGAAGUCCCAGGAUAUGAUUUAUAUUAUUCUCUAACACAGAUGGUAUUUUAUCGGUGAUAUGUUAUAUUUAUCGAUAGAUAUACCGACGGACAAAUAAAAAUAUCAUUGACAAUACAUACGGUUUUCAUGUUGGUGAUAUGUUAAAUUUACCAAUGGAGAUACCGACGGAGUGAAGCAAGUAAUUUUAUUUUAUUUUUUGCGCGCUUUGUCCGUCUGUAAAUCCAUUAGUAUAUUUAUUACUGACAGACCAUAAAUUACCGAUAAGAGUUUUUUCAAUGGACUGUUUCUGUUUAUAAGCCUGUCGGUAAUAUACAUAUCGACGGACUAUGAGUACAAAUGCUCAGCCAAUGGCUAUGGAUAAUCUUUACUUGAGUCGUAAGGUUUUGUAUACGAGGGUAAGAAUUGAUGUCCCAGCAGGUUUUGAGUCUUCAGAUGAUGAUACUGGGGCUGAGUUAAACUUAGCGCCUGCUACUAAAUCAUCCAAUGAGGUUUGGAGGUUAUUAAAGUUGAAGAAGGCUAUGCUAAGCAGCCGUGUGCAGUUUGCUUCGAGGAACUUUUGAUUGGUGGUAAAGCAAUUCUGUUGCCUUGUUCCCAUGUUUAUCAUUGUGGGUGCAUUCGUAAAUGGUUUAAAAUGAUUAAUUGAUUCAUGAAUGGUUAAUUUUGUUCCCAUGUUUUUCCUGAACGAUUAGGGUUUGUAAUCUCUUAUAAGUUUUAGAAUUUAUUAGUUCAAGGAAUGAGAGAUCUUGAAGUUCAAUCUGAUUUGAUUGAGCUUAUGAUCAUUGAUAUCAUUAUGAGUCCAAACUCCAAACUGAUUUGGAUUUUUUAUAUACAUAAUUUUCUUAAUAAUUUUGUCUAAAACUGAUAGCUAGCUUCAGCAUAUAUCAGUAUAUCAGUAUAUGCUCGGCUAAUUGCGGCUCUUUUUUGGUUAUGUGCCUAGCUAUAUUGUUUCCUCUUAUGUUUUAUUGCCAAUGAAUCUCUAUCCGUUGUGGAAAAACGGCUUGAGUUCCUACACUUCCUCCGCCUUUUCUCUAUCAAAUUGUCUUCUGGCUGGGACUGAUGGUUUUGGAGGCCAUAGUCACACCUAGUUGAGAAAUAGCUAGAUUUGCUUCUGAUUUAUUAACACUUAUUAAGCAUAAAGCAAACAAUCAUGCUGUGUCUAUGAAUCACUAGUGCUCUGUAUAAAAAAAGUCAUCAAGUCUAACGGUGCUUUUAUAUAUAUUCUUCUUCCAUCGGUCGGACAGAGAAUAGCUAAUCUAGUUUUCCAAAAGAAAUGGCAUAUACCUCAUUUAUUUGCUCUUAAAAAGAUGGUAAAAUCCUUUAAAGAGUGUGAUGAACAAGAAAGCACACAGAAUCCCUGAAGGAGCAAUUAAUUUAGCAGGGAACAUUAUUUUGAUCUAAAACAAAAUACUGAGACAUUUAGUUUCAUUUGUUAAGGCGAUAUGUAGGAAUAGAUACUAGAUGCUUGGACCUGCAGAGUACGAGACCAAACUCUUCUGACAUGUCCACUUCAGAUGGCAAUAUUCCAUUUGGAAGUUCCCAAUCAAAGCAAUGCACCAUCUGCGCAAGCACCAGUCGCACCAUAGUUAGCCCCAAUUGCAUUCCAGGGCAGCUUCUGCGGCCAGUGCCGAAUGGAAUAAGCUGGAAGUCUCGGCCCCGAACAUCUAUGUCACUGCCAACAAACCUCUCUGGGUAAAACUUUUCUGCAUCGGUCCAAGCUUUUGGGUCUCGACCAAUGGCCCAUACAUUGAUUAUAACAUGUGAUUUCUUUGGUAUGUGGAAGUCAUUCACAACGCAGUCCUCCGUGGCCUCAUGAGGGAUCAUCAAAGGACCCGCUGGAUGAAGCCGCAAGGUUUCCUUCACAACCAUGUCUAGGUACUCCAACCUCUCCAAGUCUGAUUCUUCUACCAUCCUUUGCUUUCCCACUACUUCUUCUAAUUCUUUUUGCAGUUUCUUCAUAACCCGUGGAUUUUUAAUCAGUUCUGAGAAUGCCCAGUCAAUCACAGUUGCUGAAGUGUCCAUUGAACCCACAAGCAUGUCCUGCAAAAUGUCAUGUGCAAGAGCAUAAAGAUAUUUAGAUUAGUAAUGUGCUACCAUUAUUGUGUAGUUAAUUUAACUCUUUCAUCAAGAUUAAAAGAUAAAAUGUUCAUAUACCAGCAUUGUGGCUUUCAUACAGCCUUGAUCAACAAGGUACUCGUUUUCUUCGGAUUUCAUGAAACUUAGCAUGACAUCAACAAAGUCCUUGUUUUUGCCCUUCUCCUGGUAUUGGACAUGCUCAUCAAUAAUCUUGUCAAGAAAGACAUCUAACACUUUGGAAAUAGCCUUCAUGCGUUUUGUCAGUCCCUGGAGAUCAAGAGCUGCGAUUUGAGGAAUGUAAUCUCCCAAGUGUGGAGCUGCUGAUAAAUGCAUGACCUCUUGCAUCACAGAUUUGAAUCCCCUCUCAUCAAGAUCCUCAUCUAAAUAUUUCUUCCCAAACACCAUUCUACAGCUCAUGUCAGCACUGAGGGACGAAACCUUGGCACUCAGAUCGACAGCAACACGUUCCUGUGCAGCUUCUUGAAUGUACUUAAUCAACAGAUCAAGCUCCUCCAUUCUCAUUGGCUUGAAAGAUGUAAUUUUCAAGCUACUAAGCAACUCUACUGUGCACAUCUUACGGAUGUUGCGCCAAUACGAACCGUAUUGUGCAAAAGCCAUGCCUUUUUGUCCAUAAGAGAUGUACCUUGCAGACUCGUGAGGUGGUCUACCAGCAAAAACAAGGUCAUGGGUCUUAAGAAAUAAUUCGGCAGCUUCAGGCGAAGAGACAACAAUGGUCGGCACCAGGCCUAACCGCAGAUGCAUGAUGGGGCCAUAUUUUUGAGCAAGCUGAUGAAGAGCUCGAUGAGGAAACUUCCCUAACAAAUGAAGACUUCCAAAAAUUGGAAACCCUCUUGGACCAGGCGGCAGUCUCUUAUUCUUGGUGCUUAACCAUUGGAGCAGAAAGAUAAGUGCAACAAAGGCUAGAGAAGUCCAAAUCCAAGCCAUGGAUGUGAUUCUAUAGCUUGCUGUUCUUGAAGUGUAUAAAAUCUCUACCCUUUUAUUUACUUGGAUAUUGUGACUUAGGAAUCGAAAGCCUGAAGGAAAAACAAACAGGGGAGGUAAGUUCAACGUUGUUGUUGUUUGUUGUUUUGAUCCAACUUUGACUUGUGUAACUAAGAUCGAUCGUGACAUACUAUAAAAACACAAAAGGAUGAUUUGCUUAAUUCAAGUUAAUUGUGUCAUCACGGAUAUUAUAUACUUAGACUCAUUUUGAAAAUUCGUAUUGAUUAUUUUUAAAAAUAAUAUUUAAAAAUAUAUUAAAAUAAUAUAUUUUUUAUUUUUUUAAAAUUUAUUUUUAACAUCAACACAUUAAAAUAAUAUAUAAAUAUUAAAAAAUUAAUUUAAAUAUAAAAAUUAAUUAUUUUAAAAAAAACUUUUAAAACGCAAAAACAGCUCUUAUUGACUGAGUUUUAACUAUGAUUUUUUCAAUAAAAAAGCAAAGCAAUAGAAAAGCCACUUAUAUAUAUAGUGUUUGGGAUUAUAGUAGUAGUUAUUUUUCAAAGUAAUUUUUACUUGGAAAUAUAUUAAAAUAAUAGAUUUUUUAUUUUUUAAAAUUUAUUUUUGACAUCAGCAUAUCAAAAUAAUUUAAAAUCAUAAAAAAUAAUUUAAAAUAAAUGAAAAAAUUUUAAAAGUGUUUUUGUUAACGAAAAACAAACUAACUCUUCAAUUUGGAUUUCAAACAACAUGUUACUUAGGAUAGCAUAAAUUAUUCAAUCUUUUCACACGUUAGAGUAGAGAAAAGGGAUUAUAAUUCAGUAAUUUCGAGCCUACGCUGCCUCUGACAAAAAUAUAAAAGCUAAUUGAUAUUAUCCAAACUCCCCCACCCUUGCACAUUACAUUUAAUGCACCGAAAGUUGACCAACAAUUAGAAACGGUGCGCACCAUUUCUUUCUGUGGAGAAGGAUGGGAUGCCCAGCCAACAAUAAAUAGGUUAGGUUGCAUCUCAAGCCUUUCAAAACACACCAUUUAGGAGAGACAAAAGGAGAGUAAUAUCCAAUGAAAUUAUAUGAGGUAUUUGUCAGAGAAGCUCUAAUUAAAAUGUUUACUUUUAUUAGAAGAGAAAUUAUUAAUUGUUUUUCUAUUAAUAAAAUAUUAUUGUAAUUUUUAUAUUAUAUAGUAAAAAUUUUCUCGUGUGUGUAUUAUUAUUUAUUUUCCUUGUUCUCUUAGAGUUGUGUAUUUUAUUUAGCAUGCCGGCAUUAUAGACUAAAAUUAAGUGUAAACUGGCAAAAGUGCCGUAAGCUUUUGGUAUUCUAGAUUUGUCGGCAGAUAACCUUUCCAUUUCUUUUUCUUUGUUUAAGUUAAAUUAAAUUGAUGUUCAUGUAAUUUAUAUUAUUUGGGCCUUUACAUCUUAUCCUCCGUGCUUUAUAGCAUUAUGGCAGGUCUGGUUUGUCUUAUGGAUUUUAUUUUCUAAUAUUAAUGAUGGUUUUUUUUUAUAUAUAAUAUUUAUGCCCUGCCAUUGAUUUUUCAAAUUAGCCCCUAAACUUCUAUUUCUUUUUUAUUUAGUUCCUACUUUUUUGUUAUAAUUUUUUUUAGAAUAAUUCAUUAAAUUAUAUUUUUCUUUUGAUUUUAUCUUCAUUUAAUUUUUUGUCUUGUCCAAUUUGAUCUAUAUUUUUUUUAUUACUAUUCUUUCUUCAGAUUCACCCUCUGUAAAUUUUUUUCAUAAUAGAUUUUUUUUUUUUUUGCUUUGUAAAAUUUUUAAAAGCAGUAAUUUUUUUACUCGAUUUAAUUUUUCAAUAUGUAAUUAGUUUGAAUUUAAGCUUGAUUAAACCCAUGUUUAAGACUUCACUAGUUGCAAGCUUUGAAAAUAACCUAACUUCUUGAGGUUUGCCUAAGACUUUUUAAGUUAAUAUAAUGAUAUAUAUGUUGGUAAUAUUAUUUUAUAGUUUAUUUGUUAUCAUUGUUUUAAGUUUAAAUUAGAUUAGUGGACUUCCCGAUUUUAUUAAAUCACAUUAAUGACUGAAGUUUUAAGUUUUCGUAUUUUUUUAUAAAUAUUACUGUUAUCUAAACAUCUUUUUCUUUUUGAUGGACCCGCGGCGCAGCACACCAGUGAUCUAUUGAUAUACUAAUAUUUCUUUAUUAGUAUAUCAAUAGAAAAAAUAUCUCACCCUCAUUUUUUGCAACAAAAAAAAGAAUGACAUCACCACAUUCCCGGCAACUGCCACCGGCCGCUUCAUCCGUAUUUGUAUGCUCAAAUUCGUGAACCAAAAAAGACGUUUGCAUCCGAGCCCCUGAUCUCUCUUAAAUGUUAUAUGAUCCCCCUUUCUCUACGAAAAUGGAAAAACUCUCCUCUUAUGCUGAUAUGAUAAAAUCCCCACCCGUCUGUUCUCUACAACUCUCAACACUCCAUUCCUCUUCAUUUACCCAUGACUGUUCUCAAAUUUACAAUCCCACUUCGCACGCAUCACUUGAAAUUAAAUGAAAGGUUGUUUACUCACAAGGUAAAUGUUCAGGUGUUCAGAUGGGUGCAGAAACAACGGUGGUAUGUAGCCGAUAAUGGUUGCUGUUAUUCAAAGUUGAUAUCAGUUAUGGGAAAGAAAGAUCAAACCCGGAUGGCUAUGUGGCUCUUUUCUGAGAUGCGUGACAGUGGAUGCCGGCCAGGUACUCCAGUCUACAAUGCACUCAUCACAGCUCAACUUCACUCUAAAGAUAAAACUAAGACUUUGACUAAAGGCUGGAUGCAUCCAAAUAAUUGAGGCAGAAAUUUCAUGCCAUUUUUAUUGACUUAUCAGAAGUCCGACUGCAGCAAAUCCCCAUCAAAAGAAUUGUAUCUUCGUUGAAUCAACAAUGACUUUGAUGAUCAAAGAUUGACGUAGAGAGGGCAGAUGGGCUAAACUAGUUUGGUUGAUUUUGAGGACCUGUUUAUGAAGUGGUGACUGUCUCGAAUCUAAGGUCCCUACAACCAAAUUUGGAUAGUCGUCAGCUUUAAUUGAGAAGAAAAGGCCCAACCCACCAGAACCAGCAGCUCUGGACUGGACUUAAGAGCUUGUUUAUCAUUGCCUUGAACUAUUAUUUUUUAUUAUUAUUUUUUAUUUUAUAAAUUAAUAUUUUUAUUGUUUGGUUGCUGAUCAAAAGAUUAAUAUCAUGUUUGAUUUUGCCCUCGAAACUCAGCGCUUUCCUUGUAAUUGUAGGGGGCAAAAUCAUCAGUGUAGUGUAGCAAUCCAUAAUAUACCGAGCCUUGAUUUGAAUCACUACGUACCAAAUGUAGCAAUCUAUUUAAUCGAACAGCAACAUAAUUAGACUCACCAGUCAAUUCUAAGAAAACUGAUAGAUUGUGAACUUGGAAUCCCUUAUGGUGGUCCAAUUGUUGCCGUAUUCUGAACUUGCUCCAAGCGAUCGCAGACCUCAACAAGUAAAAGGCCUUCAACACACUGAACGAAAAUUAGGCCUAGCUUUCAUCCUUUUCUUGCUAAUAUCUAACAGCGUUUAUAUUACCUCUGCAUUUGCAUUAUGAUGUCUUUUCAAACGACAAAAAAGGAACUUGCAUUUUGUGAGACACUGGCUUUGAUUGACACGAAAUGCAGUGGAUAGCAGGGGAAUACAUGGACGCAAGUACAAGCUCCUAAUUGAUCCAGAGAAAUACAAAUGCUUGAUACAUAUAAGCAAUUUGAAGGCUGAUGCAUCUUUCGGUAAGAAACCUGAACCUCUCUGUCCUCGGUGACCUUGUUUCCCCGCAUAGCUGCAAAUACACCACUUGCUAGAGACACAACUAUGCUGAAAAAUUUGUGGUUGCCAUGCAGAACCAGCUGCUAACAGAGGCAAUAGUACCCAGAAAAAAUGAAGCAUCUGAUUUCGAGAACAAAUUUAAAGCCUUCUACAUAAUGAGAUAACAUCAAUAAUUUACGAGAAUGAUAUAAUAUAUGAUAAAUGACCAUCAGUUAAAUGUCCAGGAGAGGUGAUGUAAGGGUUCUGAACGGUCAAAUGCGAAUCUUUUACUAUUGAACCACAUGAAAAGCCUUGCAUAUAUAUAUAUAUAUAUAUGUAUAUAGAUUAGUUGGAUAGGUCAAGCUCUGCAAGAAAGGAACAAAUUUCUUUUUUCCUCCUUUUCAAAUAAUUUUGAACAUGCUCUAAAAUUCAUUGUUUGCUGAAGGGUUAUAUGCAUUUCAAAGUAUUUUUGGUACACUGCAAGCUAAUGUGCCUGCUAUUUGACCCAAAAUAGAAAAUUUUAGAAGUAGAAUUCCUUUAGCAUGUCGCAGACAUCUCCCACCAGCACGCUAAAUUAUUUCAUCAUGUAACUUGACGUGAUAAAGGCAAGCCCUCCUGAGAUCCUUGAUGUAACUUUCUCUGCUACUUUCUCACUUUAACAUAUGAGGUAGCUUGGGGCUACAAGGGGAGGGGAAGAAUGGGGAAAACGGCAUUCAAGCUACGAUUAUACUGGUCCUUCGAUAUCUACUCAAUCAUUGUUGGGAAACCUUGAACAUGGGGACUGUCUUUCCACAAUUGACAACUCCUUCUAUGACAUCAGAUAUUUAAGGCUCUUAUGAUCCGUGAAAAUUUGAACCCGGGAUCUGUAUAAGUAGUGCCUCCAUACUCGUAAAGCAAAAACUACUACUGCCAAUUCUAAGUCAUAAACUGGGUAGUUGACUUCAUGAGUCAUCACUGUAGACUACAAAGCCUUCUGUUCCAGAUGGAAGGAUUAGUACAGGGGCAAUAGUAAGCUUUCUUUUCAAUUCUUGAAAGCUCUCAUCGCACUCAUUUGACCACUCCCAUCUUAUGUUCUUCCUAGUGAAUCAUGUCAAUGGAGUUGCUAUCGUUGAAAACCCUUUGAUAAACCUUCUAUAAUACCCUGCCAAUCCGAGAAAACUAUGAAUUUCAGUUACCGUAGUAGGCCUUUCCCAUCUCAAAACUGCUUUCACCUUCUAAGGAUCCACAAAAAUGCCUUUUGAAGAUACUACAUGCCCCUAAAGGUAACUUCUUUUAACCAGAAGUCACAUUUAUCCAACUUGGCAUACAACUGGCGGCUCCUUAGAGUCUGUAGUGUCUAUCUCAGGUGUUGUUCAUGUUCCUCAUAGGAUUUGGAGUAAACCAAGAUGUCAUCGAUGAAUACGACAACAAACUUAUCAAGGUAUGGUUGGAAUACUCGGUUCAUUAAAUCCAUAAAAAGUGCUGGAGCAUUAGUUAAUCCAAAAGGUAGCACCAAGAACUUGAAGUGUCCGUAGCAAGUUCUGAAGGCAAUUUUUGGCACAUCUUGCCCUCUGAUUCGCAUCUGGUAGAUUCCUGAUCUUAAAUCAAUCUUUGAGAAUACUUUAGCACCCUUUAACUGAUCGAAUAAAUCAUCUAUCCACGGAAGCGGAUAUUUAUUCUUUACCAUCACUUUAUUCAGCUGACGGGAAUCUAUGCAAAGCCUCAACGUUCCAUCUUUCUUCUUCACAAAUAAUACGGGUGCUCCUCAAGGUUAGUUGUUUAGUCAUAUGAACCCUUUGUCUAAAAGCUCCUACAAUUGAAUUUUCAACUCAUCCAAUUCUUUUGGGGCCAUUCUAUACUGUGGUUGGGCUAUAAGAGACACCUCAGGCAAUAUAUCGAUGGUGACUUCAACUUCUCUUUCUAGGGGUAGUCCUGGCAAUUCUUCCGGAAAUACGUUCGGAAAUUCCCUCAUAAUUGGAAUGUCAGACAGUCCUAUUUUACCCUUUUUUUAAAUUUAACACAUAGGCAAGGUAUGCUGUACAACCUUUCUUUAGUAGUUUUCUUGCAACUAUACCCGAGAUUAUAUUUGUAAAGUUGGAAAUUCUCUCCCCCUUGAAGACCAUUGUUUCACCCUUAUCCCCUUGGAAGGUUACUGUUUUUGUAAAGCAGUCUAGACGAGCCUUAUUUUUGCCCAACCAAUUCAUACCUAGAAUUAUAUCAAAAUCACUUAAUUCUAGGGGUAUUAAAUCUUCUUCUAGUUUACACCCAUUAAUGUUAAUUCCCACCCCUUCAAAUACAACAUUUGCUUCCACAGUUUCACCCAAAGGUGUCCCAAUAAUAAAUUCUUUUUCUACCCUUUUUGUUUCCUUACUCAAUUUGGUUACAUUUUUAUUUGCUAUAAAGGAGUGGGUGGCACCAGAAUCAAACAAAACAUACAUUUGAUAGUCAUUCAUUUGUAGCAUAUCUGCCACCACAUUUGAUGCUGCUCUGACAUCCUCCUGGGUCAUAUGGAAAACCUUUCCUUGAUCCCUUUCAUUUUGCACUCUGGGUCAUCACCUAUUUGAGUUAACUCCUGACUGAGUCGACCUUCCCGGUUUGUUUACUUUGAUGGACUGCUGAUGACUCUGACUUUGCUGCCUAUGUCUCUGAGGUUGUUGUCACUGGCCUGGAGUGAGGUUGGAGGUGGUCUGGGUAGUCGCCCUGAAGCUGAUGGCGGCGUCUGUAGAGGAGUCGCUGCUACUGCUGCCGAUACUGGAGAAGGAAGAAAACGAAAAUGGUGGUGCUGAUGGGCUGCUGCCGCUGUGGAGGAAAAAAAGGAGCUUUCGGUGGAGAGGGAUAAGUGUGGUGGAGAGGGUGGCAGACGAGCUGGUGGCAGGGUGGCUCGGAGUCGCUGAGAACACGGUAGAGAGAGAGUGUAGAGAGAGAGACUUGUUGCAGGAAAAAAACUAGGGAGAAGGCUGGUUUUUUCUGACUUUUGGACCCAAUUUUCUCCUCUCUCUCAGGUCAUCAACGGAGCCUCUAUUUAUAGGUGGUGGAAGAGGGUAAUCUCGUCUACACCGGAGUAAAAUUUCAGCCCUUGAUUUGGUUGGGAAGGAUCACAACCGUUGGUUCAAAGUAGCCUCCCUGAGUUGUCAAAUCUGCAGGAAAAGGCUGCCUGAGUUGACCUCUUCACGUCGUCGCUGAUGUCGUCGUGCUGUCAUUCAUCCUGAAACAUUCACAUGGAAUUGUAGAGGAACUGCAGGGGAUCCAUUUCGUGCAAGUUUUGUUCGAUUUUAUGGAGAAAUCAAGCAUUAAAUGCACCUGCAAAGUAGGCACUCAGGCAGUUUCUUUCGGGUAAAAAAAGAAGACAAUGAACAGUAACAAGACGACACGUCGUCUGGUCCUCUUUUUUUUUAAUGUAAAAGGCGUCGUUUUGGAUUGAAUUAGGGAUUUAAACUUGUUUUUAAUUUAGUCCUCUAGCUUUUAAUUUCUUCCAAUUGAACUCCUAAUUGACCUUAAACUUUUGAUUUAAUGCAAUUAGGCCCCUACAGAACUUCAACUUCAGCCCCGUAUUUAUGCGCCUUUUGCAAUAUGGUCCUUGGUCUCGGAUUUAUGCAAUUUAACCCCUAGUUGACCAUUAAACUUUCAAUUUCUUCAAUUUCACCCCCGGUUUUUGUUAAUUAAACCCCUAAAGCCUGGCGCCUUUUGCAGAUUGGUCCUUGACUGUCAAUUACUUCAAUUUAACCCCUAAUUGGCCACAAAACUUCAAUUUUCUUGCAAUGUGGCCUCUAAUUUCAAUCAAUUAACUUGGUAAAAAUUAAAUUUGGUCUCUUAAAAUUCCAAUCUCCUCAAUUAAUCCUAAAUUAGGCUCCCAAACUUAAUUUUUCACCAAUUAAGCACCAAAUAAAAUUAAUUUGACCCAUUUAAAGUAUAAUUAAGUCCUUGCACUUAAUUAAAUCCUUCAAUUGGACCCAAAUUAAUUCUUAAACAUAAUUAAAAUUCAAUUUGGCCCAUGAUUAAAUCAAAUUGGCCUAUUAAAAAUUUAAUUAUGUCCUUGGACUUAAUUUUUAUGCAAAUUCAUCCAAUAAACAUUUAAUUUGACCUUAAAUUUGCAUUUGUUUCUCCAUUUUUUGGCAUAAUGGGGUACAAUUAGAUCUUUAAUUUCCUCCAAAAUUGCAGCUUGAUAUUUUCGUAUUUUUGUAGUCCUCGUUGAUCUGUUUUCUCCACAUUGUCAGCCUUUAUUUUAUUUUUUUAUUUUUUUUAUUUUGAAAAAAGUGAAUUUUAGGGAAUAACUCAUAAUUGGAUUAUGACAGUUGCCCCCUCUUUACAAUGCUUACGAUAAAAAGUCUCAUAAGAGACUUUAGAUAGUAAGCGUUGUAAAGAAGAAAAAGAAGAAAAAGAAGAAUGAGAGAUGAUGGACUCAUCAUAUUAAGCGAUGAUGAAUCAUUCUGAGGGCUAGAAAGCACACUCAGAGUAAAAACUAGAAGAUUUUUCUUUUGAAAAUUCAGAGAUUUUGAAGUGGUCGAAUUGUCAUGGGUGACCUACCCGGAGAAAAUUAAAAAAGUUUUUUGAGAUGGUCUUAUUGUAAUGGGCGACCUACCCGGGUGAAAACGCAAAGAUUUUUUGGAGAUUUUUUCAAAAUGGUGAAAAAUACAGGGAUUUUUAAAGUGGUCUUGUUGUAAUGGGUGACCUGCCCAGGUGAAAAACAUGAAGAUUUUUCAAAGAGGUGAAAAAUACAGAGAUUUUUCAAAGUGGUCUUGUUGUAAUGAGCGACCUGCUCAUAUGAAAAAUACAAAGAUUUUUCAAAGUGAAAAAUGCGAACAUUUUUCAAAGUGGUCAUGUUGUUAUGAGCGACCUACCCAGAUGGAAAAUGAAAAGAGUUUUCAAAGUGGUGAAAAAUACAUAGAUUUUUCAAAGUGGUCUUAUUGUAAUUGGUGACCUGCCCAGAUGAAAAACACAAGAUUUUUCAAAGUGGUGAAAAAUACAGAGAUUUUUCAAAGUGGUGAGAAAUGCGAAGAUUUCUUAAAAUGGUUUCAUUGUAAUGGGCAACCAACCCAAAUGGAAGAUUUUGGAGGUGGUGAGAAAUGCGAGGAUUUUUCAAAACGGUUUCAUUGUAAUGGGCAACCAGCCAAAUGGAAGAUGAAAAGAGUUUUCAAGGAGGUCUGAUUGUGAUGGGUGACCUACCCAUGCAAAAAUUAAAUGUCUUGAAAGGACAACAUGAUAGGGCUCGAAGGCACACUAUUCAAGAGAUGGAAGCUCAACAAAGCAUUCAAAAAGAGAUAGAAAUCAAAGGGGAACGAGGGCUGAAAAGCUCACUCGAUAGGAGAUAGAGUUAGAAAACGCACUACCUGAUAGGUGAGGGCUCAAAGGCACACUCAAAAGGAGGCUGGGUUAGAAAACACACUACCCAAAGGGUGAGGGUUCGAAGGCACACUCGAAAAGAGGUAAGGUUAGAAAACGCACUACCUAAAGUGGUUGAGGGCUCUAAGGCGCACUCAAAGGGAGGCAGGGUUAAAAAACAUACUACCCAAGAGGUGAGGGCUCAAAGGCGCACUAAAAAAUAGGUAAGGUUAGAAAACGCACUACCUAAAGUGGUUGGGGGCUCAAAGGCACACUCGAAAAGAGGUAAGGUUAGAAAAUGCAUUACCUAAGGUGGUUGAGGGCUCUAAGACAUACUCGAAAGGAGGUAGUGUUAGAAAACACACUACCCAAGAGGUGAGGGCUUGAAGGCGCACUCAAAAAUAGGUAAGGUUAGAAAACGCACUACCUAAAGUGGUCGGGGGCUGAAAGGUACACUCGAAAAAAGGUAAGGUUAGAAAAUGUACUACCUAAGGUGGUCGAGGGCUCUAAGGCGCACUCAAAAAGAGGUAGGGUUAGAAAACACACUACCCAAGAGGUGAGGGCUCUAAGGCGCACUCAAAAAAAGGUAGGGUUAUAAAGCGCAUUAGUUGAGAUGGUUGAUGGCUGAACAACCUAGUCAAAAAGAGGUGUGAUGGUAAGACACUGAUAAGUCAGUGAUGAAAAUAAUACAUCAUGAUCAAUAUACAUGUAUACUUACCUGAGAAAUAUAGGUCCCCUUUUCUUCAUGAAAUUUUCUUUUUCUCAAAAGUUUGAGUCUUUGAUAAUAAGCUUUGAUGGCUCUUCCGCUCUUGCUUACUCGAGUCAUAUCUUAUGAUCUUGACCUCUAGGAGAGAUAUGGCAUCAGCAUACUUCUUUUUCCACAAACCUUUUUCUGAAAGGUUUUCAACUCUGCCUGACGUUUUCUAUUUUCUUAGAAGAGGAAUCAUGGAGCCAGCCCUAAGUGUUUUGGUGGAUUGCCCCCCCCCCCAGUUUGAUCAUGUGUUUAAGUGUUCAAUUUGGGAUUUUCUUAGGGAUGAGGCUAUGUGGAAGAAGAUUUGGUUAUUUACAAGGAGUUGUUUUCAUGAAAAAAUUUUGGAAUUUCAAAGCUAUUCCGAAAAAUCAUUUUGAUGUUUGUUCAAAACAAACUUGUUCUGAAAAAUUCAAGCGAUUCUCAUGAAUAGGUUUGCAUGAGUCUUGAAAUUUUUUUUGUUUUGCUUUUGGUGAAGUUAAGUGAUGUUUGAUUAGUCAGAAGGGUUCAAGCUUUAAUUUGAUGGUUUUAAAGAACCAGUUUUCAAAGCAUUCAUUUUGCUUGCAUGAAUAAUGACUUGUUUCACAUGGAAAAGCAAAGCCUGUCGAUCCAGAUUGCUUGCCUUUGAUCAGAAAGGGCUUGAUUAGGCACGUAACGUAGGCUUUGGCUCUUGGUUAUAAAGAAAAGAUAUUUAUAGGCUCAAAAGGUGUUUAAGUGACUUUAAGACUAAGGAUCACUAGUGCUUAUUUCCCAACCUCUUUCUGUUCAUGGAUUUCUAGACCUUGGAAUUGAUUUCAAAAUGGUGCCACCACAAGUUUGGGCUUUUUCUUCUUUUGGUUUUGAGCAUCAUUAUAUUAGUGCUUUUGUGGCACACUCAAAUCUUUUUGGAACUCUUUCAUGCCCCCCAGCUUUGUUUGGGCACUUUUGAUCAUUGAGGAUUUUGUUUCAUGCCCCCUAGUGUUGUUUGGGCACUUUUAUCGUUGAGGACUUUUUCAUACCCCCAGGGUUGUUUGGGCACUUUUAGUCAUUAAGGAUUUUUUUGCACUUGCCCCCCAGUGUAGGGUGUGAUCCUAGCCAAUGUUAUUUUUUUUCAAGAAAAAGUUAUUGGGCUCAAAAGGGAACUGCAAGGGAUUUUUUUAGAAUUGUGAAAGGAUGAUUAAAGAUGGCCUUUCUUCAUUUCAAAUGCAAGCAGUUAGAAUCGACAAGCUUUGCUUUCUCACAUAUGAAUAUGCAAAAUGGUUUCUCAUUAUUCAUGCAGCCAAAACUCAGCUUUGAAGUUAUCUCAUGGCAUUUGGGUUGUCUUUCAGGUUUUUAAGUGUUAGGAUAUCACUUGAAUUUUCAGAACUUGUUUAUUAGAACAAACACCAAUUUGAUUUUUGUUUUUGUAUUAAAACUUUGAUUUCUCAAAAAUCCUUGUGAAAACAUGGGGUCAUGCUUUUUUUGGGGGAGAGAAAAAAAAAGGAAAACACCAAAGAAUUCUUGGUGCAGUGGUUUUGUGAGUACAGAGUGUGCUCAGUGUGUUAUUUGCAUGAAACAACAAAAAUGAAGGCACAUCAUGAACACAUAAAACACAUGAUCUUAUUAACAAGAAAGACUCAUUUGACAGAGAGUCUUGUGGCAUUAUAAGCUAAAUUGCCAACAAGACUAAAACAUGUUAAAAUAUGACAAAAUCAAAAUAACUUUGCAGACAUGAUCAAACAGAGGCGAUUAUUAGGGGCAGACUUCAUCUUCCCAUUCUAUAGCAGAACUUUGUCCUCUAUCCUCGAGAGUGCACACUGCCUUCUUCACACCUUGCUCUUACCAUCGGUGCUUUGAGGUUUCCAUAGCAUUCCCACUCUAGUGCAUUCACCGAUCCAGUACCUAAAGCAUGAUUGGGUAGAGGGUUCAAACUCACGUUUGGAGUUCCUUCGAAUGUUAUCCACCCAGCUUUGAUCAAAUGCAUGAGCCUCUUUUUGAAGGCACUACAGGUAUGAAUGUUGUGUCCCGCAAUGCCAGCAUGAUACUCCCAAGUGAGGUCGGGCUUGUACCAAUUGGGGUAAGGUGGUUGCAAAGGUGUCAAGGUUUCUAGAGCUAUGUGACUGAUGCUCAGUAGCUUUUGUUACAUCUCAUUUAAAGGCAACGGUAAUGGAGGUAGUUGGUCUUGGACUUUUUGGUGUUUGGUGUGAGGCUCAGGUUUUCUGGCAGGAAAAGAAGAGUUGAGAUUGAUGUUGGCGAUUUGGGGUGAAAAGGAUGGAGUGUGAUAGUUUUGGAAUGGGUUUUUCCUACCCCUAUAGCUACCGUCAACAUGGUCAACCUCCUUUCUUUUAACCUCAAAGCCUCUUUUCUCAGUGGGCACAGAUAUUCUACCACUUUUUACUCCUUGCUCUAUGCACUCAGCUACUGCCACAGCGUCGAUAAAUUAUUGUGUCGAACUACACAUCACAUGCUCGUAAUACGGGUCCUUGAGCGUAUUGGCAAAUAGAGUCACCAUCUCUUUGUCCAAGAGUAGGGGAUGUACUUAAGCAGCUAGGUCUCUCCAUCUUUGAGCAUAUUCCAUUAUGCUUUCUUUAUCCUUUUUUUCGAGAUUAGACAAGCUGGUUCUGUCAGGAGUGAUGUCCAUAUUGUACUUGUAUUGCUUCACAAAAGCAUCCACCAAGUCUUUCCAUUUGCGGAUUUUGGUGUUGUCUAAUCUCAUGUACCAGCUUAAUGCCACCCCACUUAAGCUAUCUUGUAAAAAGUGCAUCAGUAGUUUUUCAUCGUGUACUACUUCUGCCAUUUUGUUGCAGUAGGAUUUAAGAUGAGUCAUGGGGCAUUGUGUUCCAGUGUAUUUGAGGAAUUCAGGAACACAAAAUUUUUUCGGGAUAACCACAUUUGGGACCAGACACAUUUCUGCUGCCCAUAUUGGAUCGUACAAGUCCACCCCUUCAAUGGCUCUAAUUCGGGCUUCCAACACUCUCACCUUAUCUUGAUCAAUGUCAUUGGAUGACUUGGUCUUGUGGGACUCAUUGGCGAAUGGAUAUAUGACUGCAGGGGCUGGUGCUGGUGGCCUUGAGUGCACAAAUGUUGGAUUGUAUGGAGGUUCUUGACCAUGUUCACUCAAUGUUUCUUCAGGUUGAGCUGUUGCCGGAGGCUAAACAAAAAUAGCUGGCCGGUCAGAAGGACCUUCACUAGAGGCAUUUCUAAGUGUUUGCUCGAGUAAUCUAGUGAGGCGAGCCACGCUUGCUUUCAGAGACUAAUUCUUCUUGGAAAUAGGCGUCAUGGUGAGCACGCUCUUCAUCUUCCAUGUUUCUUACUCGGAGUCGAGUGUUGUAGGCUCUUUGGGGACCUAUAUUUCAACAUGUUGCAUGUAUGUAUGUUAUUUACAAUGGAUUGAUGUAUGUGUAUGGAUGCAAAUGUAUGCACAUUGGGUAUGAAUGGCAAAAACCCAUGCAAAAUGAAUAUGUAAGGAGUUCAUGCUAAAGGAAGGUUCUAGGUCAUUACAUGAUAGGUAGGAUUUCUACCUAGUAUUACAAGGGUCUAUGAAUUGCCAAGUGACCACCUCAUGUAAAGGCAAUAUAGGGGUUUACAAGGAAUGGUUGGGGCACAGUGUGACCACCAUUAUCGAGUAAACACUCAGCUCAUAGUUGGAUGUUUCACGAAUCUGAACCCCGACUAAAAGUCAUAAGGCAUACCGCUACUCCUCACCUAACCUAGAAUUGGGUUUUUAUUAAAAUGCAUGCUAAAGCAAAAAUGCGAGCUAAAAGACUAACAAAAGGGAAACAGUCAAACAAUCAAAGCUUAGUCCAACCAGACAUGGCUAUCCCCAGCAGAGUCGCCAUCCUGUCACGGGGGGCGCGAGCGCCACGACGUCGUCUAGCUACGGCGGAGGCUUUCGUUGUGCCUCCUAUGUGAAGUGUGGUGUGUUGGGAAGGGUUUUUGGAUUUAAUCAUAAAAUUAUGAUUAAUGUUUAGGAGUCGCCAUCUAGUAUUAUGGUCACUAAGAACCUAUGGUCUGCGAGAGUCUGAGUAAUGGACUGAUUGUGCAAGGGGAAGAUGAAUCACCCCCAGUGCACCCUACCUAAGGUAAGCUGCAUUGUUGUUUGAUUGUUUUUUUCUAAGUCGGGUUUCUAUUCGUUGGUCUUUUCUAAGGCUCAAGGUAGAUCUCUCUUCGUGAGAAAGUCUCUACCUUAUUGGGUUAAAUCCUAGCCAUUCUAAAGUCUAAAUUUUAGCAUCGCAUAUAUUUACACCUUGUAUCUUUAAUACCUAAGGGUGUACUUUAACGUGUAAUUUUACACCUCACAAAUAUUAAAAUCUACAUCUAGACCCUAAAAAAAAAGAUUGGGAAAAGGUUUUGGAUAUUUUGGCCAAACCCUAAUGGAUGAUCAUAAACUAGUUAUGAUAUCUAUUUUUUUGGAUUUUCAAAACAUGAGAAAGAUGAAUCUUUUUAAUGAAAAUGUGCUUGGAAAAUUUUUAGGAUUUGGCCAUAUGCAUGAAAACAAAAUUAUUAUUUUUUGUUUUUGAAAAGGGAAAUUGAUUUAAAAGUUUUUGAGAUUUUUUUUAAAAUGUUUUGACAUUUUUUUAAAAUAUUUCAGAGAAAACCGGAUGUUUUAAUACCAAAUAUGUAUUUUACGGUGUAAAUAUACAACCCGAUAUUAUGCAAACUGGAUAGAAAAAUAUUUGAGAAAAUCACAAAUUUUUUAAAUGAUUGUUUUGAAAUUUUUUUAUUUUUUAGGGGUCGGACCGGACCCGGCCCAGCCAUUUGGGCUGGGCCGGAACUGGCCCGGCCCAAGUGAGUGAAUUAUUUGGAGAACGUGAACGGUAAGUUCACGUUCUGCAUGCAACUUUAUAGUUGCAAACGGUGGAGUGAAGUGGGAGGCAACCUUGCGAGGGAGAAGCAGUUGUUGUCACUGGCCUGGAGUGAGGUUGGAGGUGGUCUGGGUAGUCGGCUUAAAGCUGGUGGCGACGUCUGUAGAGGAGUCGUUGUUGCUGUUGCCGAUACUGGAGAAGGAAGAAAACGAAAAUGGUG
rnacentral:lncRNA from 1 species